AGUGAACGCUGGCGGUAGGCCUAACACAUGCAAGUCGAACGGCAGCACAGUAAGAGCUUGCUCUUACGGGUGGCGAGUGGCGGACGGGUGAGGAAUACAUCGGAAUCUACUUUUUCGUGGGGGAUAACGUAGGGAAACUUACGCUAAUACCGCAUACGACCUACGGGUGAAAGCAGGGGAGCUUCGGACCUUGCGCGAUUGAAUGAGCCGAUGUCGGAUUAGCUAGUUGGCGGGGUAAAGGCCCACCAAGGCGACGAUCCGUAGCUGGUCUGAGAGGAUGAUCAGCCACCCUGGACCUGAGACACGGUCCAGACUCCUACGGGAGGCAGCAGUGGGGAAUAUUGGACAAUGGGCGCAAGCCUGAUCCAGCCAUACCGCGUGGGUGAAGAAGUCCUUCGGGUGGUAAAGCCCUUUUGUUGGGAAAGAAGAGCAGCAGGUUAAUACCCCGCUGUUCUGACGGUACCCAAAGAAUAAGCACCGGCUAACUUCGUG
rnacentral:rRNA from 1 species